rnacentral:rRNA from 1 species
GAUGAACGCUGGCGGCGUGCCUAAUACAUGCAAGUCGAGCGAAUGGAUUAAGAGCUUGCUCUUAUGAAGUUAGCGGCGGACGGGUGAGUAACACGUGGGUAACCUGCCCAUAAGACUGGGAUAACUCCGGGAAACCGGGGCUAAUACCUGAUAACAUUUUGAACCGCAUGGUUCGAAAUUGAAAGGCGGCUUCGGCUGUCACUUAUGGAUGGACCCGCGUCGCAUUAGCUAGUUGGUGAGGUAACGGCUCACCAAGGCAACGAUGCGUAGCCGACCUGAGAGGGUGAUCGGCCACACUGGGACUGAGACACGGCCCAGACUCCUACGGGAGGCAGCAGUAGGGAAUCUUCCGCAAUGGACGAAAGUCUGACGGAGCAACGCCGCGUGAGUGAGGAAGGCUUUCGGGUCGUAAAACUCUGUUGUUAGGGAAGAACAAGUGCUAGUUGAAUAAGCUGGCACCUUGACGGUACCUAACCAGAAAGCCACGGCUAACUACGUGCCAGCCGCCGCGGUAA